CGAUAGAGCCAUGUUCCAAGGGACAGAACUGUACAGAUCUUACUGCUGCCCAACAGGGAAACAAUUCUAUUGGAUAUGCUUGUGGCCCUUGCCCUAAUGGAUUUUUUGAUUGGAAAGGAAAGUGUGUUGAUAUUGAUGAAUGUAAUGUGAGCAGCCCAUGUAGCCAGGUGUGUUCCAACACUGAAGGCUCAUUUGUUUGCAGUUGCCAGUCUGGCUACAGGCUGGACACAGUUGAAAAGAAAACUUGUUUAGAAAUCAAUGAGUGUGAGGAGAGAACAUCCAAAUGUCAACAAAAAUGCACAAAUACAAAGGGAAAUUACUC